AUCCCUGAAAACCGGUCUCAGUUCGGAUCGCAGUCUGCAACUCGACUGCGUGAAGGUGGAGUCGCUAGUAAUCGCGGAUCAGCAACGCCGCGGUGAAUGCGUUCCCGGGCCUUGUACACACCGCCCGUCAAGUCAUGAAAGUGGGCAGCACCCGAAGACGGUGGCCUAACCCUUGUGGGGGGAGCCGUCUAAGGUGAGGCUCGUGAUUGGGACUAAGUCGUAACAAGGUAGC
rnacentral:rRNA from 1 species